GCGAUGUGCCUAAGGUAUGCAAGUCGAACGAUUCCUGUAUCUUCGGAUACAGGGAGUGGCAAACGGCUGAGUAACGCGUAGGAACCUACCCCAAACUCGAGUAUAGCCCCGCGAAAGCGGGGGUAAUCCUCGAUAGCCCGUGAAGUAUUUACUUCACGGUAAAGCUUUUGCGGUUUGGGAUGGGCCUGCGUCCUAUCAGGUAGUUGGUGAGGUAAAUGCUCACCAAGCCUAUGACGGGUAGCUGGUCUGAGAGGAUGGUCAGCCAGACUGGGACUGCGAUACGGCCCAGACUCCUACGGGAGGCAGCAACUAGGAAUUGUGCGCAAUGGACGAAAGUCUGACGCCGCGACAUCGCGUGGAGGAUGAAGGUCUUCGGAUUGUAAACUCCUUUUCUUACCGAACAAGUUCUGAGUGUAGGUAAGGAAUAAGUGCCUGCUAACCACGUGCCAGAAGCAUCGGUAAUACGUGGGGCACGAGCGUUAUCCGGAUUUACUGGGCGUAAAGAGAAGCGUAGGCGGCUCAAUAAGUUUGGUGUUAAAUCUUCCGGCUCAACCGGAAACAAGCACCGAAAACUAUCGAGAUUGAGUCGAGUAGGGAAGAGGGGAAUUCCUGGUGGAGCGGUUAAAUGCGUAGAUAUCAGGAGGAAUACCAAGGGCGAAGGCACCUCUUUGGACUCGUACUGACGCUGAGGCUCGAAAGCGUGGGUAGCAAAACGGAUUAGAUACCCGUGUAGUCCACGCCGUAAACGAUCCCUGUUAGAUGUA
rnacentral:rRNA from 1 species